CGGGCGUUAGCGCAGUCUGGCCAGCGCAUCUGCUUUGGGAGCAGAGGGUCGGGGGUUCGAAUCCCUCACGCCCGA
rnacentral:tRNA from 1 species